rnacentral:rRNA from 1 species
AGUGAACGCUGGCGGUAGGCCUAACACUUGCAAGUCGAACGGCAGCACAGUAAGAGCUUGCUCUUACGGGUGGCGAGUGGCGGACGGGUGAGGAAUACAUCGGAAUCUACUUUUUCGUGGGGGAUAACGUAGGGAAACUUACGCUAUUACCGCAUACGACCUACGGGUGAAAGCAGGGGAUCUUCGGACCUUGCGCGAUUGAAUGAGCCGAUGUCGGAUUAGCUAGUUGGCGGGGUAAAGGCCCACCAAGGCGACGAUCCGUAGCUGGUCUGAGAGGAUGAUCAGCCACACUGGAACUGAGACACGGUCCAGACUCCUACGGGAGGCAGCAGUGGGGAAUAUUGGACAAUGGGCGCAAGCCUGAUCCAGCCAUACCGCGUGGGUGAAGAAGGCCUUCGGGUUGUAAAGCCCUUUUGUUGGGAAAGAAAAGCAGCAGGUUAAUACCCCGCUGUUCUGACGGUACCCAAAGAAUAAGCACCGGCUAACUUCGUG